rnacentral:lncRNA from 1 species
CAGCCUCAGGAGCCUGGAGAAAGCUCUGCCUUGGAAGGAAUGACGGCAGGUUAACGGAGUCCACGGAACUUAAAGCCAGGGCUCAGACUCCUGUACAGGCAGGGCUGUUCUAUUGAGUUUCAGUUGAUUUCCCAGGACCACAGAUUCUGGGUCAGAGCUGGACUGAGCCGCUCCAGCCUCCUAUCCUGGGCCUCCUCUCUCUUCUACCCUUCAAAUCCCAGGACAGGUCCCAUGCGGGCCUCUCGUCGACAGCCCCAGGCUUCAGCGUCUUGUGUGGAGUCAUCGGUUGGUGAAGCCCAAAGAUCAGAUCACAAGGUUCACCUGAUGGAGCCCAAUGAGGACUCAUAGAGAACAGGACCGGACAUGGGAGUAAACUCCGACAUUCUCCACAUGUCACCCUGUCCUGGAACGAGAAGACACAUAAGACGGUCUGUGGCAGUGAGGCUGGUCACACGGCCAUCCAUGCGGAGAACUGAACUGAGGGCCUUGCGCAUCCUAGGCAAGAGGGCCACCACCGAGCCACGCCCCGUGCUCUCAUUUAAGCCUUAAAGCACGGAGAGAACAACCCAAAGAGCCACUGAUUGGUAGAAGAACAUCACAUGGUGCAUCUAUCAAGUUCAGUAAGAGUGCAGUGCACAGGGAUGAGGUGUGCUGACCCUCCGGACAUCAUGCUUGAGGACAGAAGCCAGACCCAGAAUCAGUGGCUGGGGAUCGGGAUGGGAACUGACUGCCCGUGGGUUUGGGCACUGAUAAGGAUGUUUCAAAUCAUACCAUGAUAUGGUUGCAUGGCUCCAGGAUUCACUAAAAAUCAGUGACUCAUAUACUUUGAGAAGUUUCAUGAAUGAAU